rnacentral:rRNA from 1 species
GAUGAACGCUGGCGGCGUGCCUAAUACAUGCAAGUCGAGCGAACGGACGAGAAGCUUGCUUCUCUGAUGUUAGCGGCGGACGGGUGAGUAACACGUGGAUAACCUACCUAUAAGACUGGGAUAACUUCGGGAAACCGGAGCUAAUACCGGAUAAUAUUUUGAACCGCAUGGUUCAAAAGUGAAAGACGGUCUUGCUGCCACUUAUAGAUGGAUCCGCGCUGCAUUAGCUAGUUGGUAAGGUAACGGCUUACCAAGGCAACGAUGCAUAGCCGACCUGAGAGGGUGAUCGGCCACACUGGAACUGAGACACGGUCCAGACUCCUACGGGAGGCAGCAGUAGGGAAUCUUCCGCAAUGGGCGAAAGCCUGACGGAGCAACGCCGCGUGAGUGAUGAAGGUCUUCGGAUCGUAAAACUCUGUUAUUAGGGAAGAACAUAUGUGUAAGUAACUGUGCACAUCUUGACGGUACCUAAUCAGAAAGCCACGGCUAACUACGUGCCAGCAGCCGCGGUAAUACGUAGGUGGCAAGCGUUAUCCGGAAUUAUUGGGCGUAAAGCGCGCGUAAGCGGUUUUUUUAAGUCUGAUGUGAAAGCCCACGGCUCAACCGUGGAGGGUCAUUGGAAACUGGAAAACUUGAGUGCAGAAGAGGAAAGUGGAAUUCCAUGUGUAGCGGUGAAAUGCGCAGAGAUAUGGAGGAACACCAGUGGCGAAGGCGACUUUCUGGUCUGUAACUGACGCUGAUGUGCGAAAGCGUGGGGAUCAAACAGGAUUAGAUACCCUGGUAGUCCACGCCGUAAACGAUGAGUGCUAAGUGUUAGGGGGUUUCCGCCCCUUAGUGCUGCAGCUAACGCAUUAAGCACUCCGCCUGGGGAGUACGACCGCAAGGUUGAAACUCAAAGGAAUUGACGGGGACCCGCACAAGCGGUGGAGCAUGUGGUUUAAUUCGAAGCAACGCGAAGAACCUUACCAAAUCUUGACAUCCUUUGACAACUCUAGAGAUAGAGCCUUCCCCUUCGGGGGACAAAGUGACAGGUGGUGCAUGGUUGUCGUCAGCUCGUGUCGUGAGAUGUUGGGUUAAGUCCCGCAACGAGCGCAACCCUUAAGCUUAGUUGCCAUCAUUAAGUUGGGCACUCUAAGUUGACUGCCGGUGACAAACCGGAGGAAGGUGGGGAUGACGUCAAAUCAUCAUGCCCCUUAUGAUUUGGGCUACACACGUGCUACAAUGGACAAUACAAAGGGCAGCGAAACCGCGAGGUCAAGCAAAUCCCAUAAAGUUGUUCUCAGUUCGGAUUGUAGUCUGCAACUCGACUACAUGAAGCUGGAAUCGCUAGUAAUCGUAGAUCAGCAUGCUACGGUGAAUACGUUCCCGGGUCU